rnacentral:rRNA from 1 species
UACAGAGACUGCAAGCGUUAUUCGGAUUCACUGGGCGUAAAGGGUGCGCAGGCGGCCAAGUGUGUGAGGCGUGAAAGCCCGGGGCUUAACCCCGGAAUUGCACCUCAAACUACAUGGCUAGAGCAUUGGAGAGGGUAGCGGAAUUCACGGUGUAGCAGUGAAAUGCGUAGAUAUCGUGAGGAACACCAGAGGCGAAGGCGGCUACCUGGACAAUUGCUGACGCUCAGGCACGAAAGCUAGGGGAGCAAACAGG